AUACGCCCCUUGUAUUUUAAAUCCACUCGUCCGUGUAAUUAGCAUCUUCGUGUGUCGCAAUCGUUAAUCGGGUGACUCUACAUGACACUUAUGAUGUUGAUGUGUAGGUACCUGCUCCUGUUUAUUGGAAUAUUGCUGAAGUAUGCAAGAGCUUAAAUUGAAGUCCAAAGCCACCAGUCUGUUAAUUAUUAAAAGUACACUGAAAGAUACAUUUGUUUGUGGUCUGGAUUGUUUGAAAAACAUGAACUUUAAGAGUGGGGAACUUUAUUUUGGAUAAUUCAAAGGCAUUCAGAAUGCAGCUUAUAAAAUGCUAAAUAUUCCAUUGAUAACAGCUGGGUAUGCUAAAGUUAGAUAAAUUUACAAGUGUUGAAAAAAUGUUUUAUGUUCUAAAGUGUUUUUAUGAACAGUUUAAUAAUAAGAACACAUUUUCACAUACCCUUAAAUUAUCAAAAAAAUGUUGCAACAAUUCUGGAAAAAAAUGGGACAUAUCAGAUAAAACACUGCAAACUUUGAACUGGCUAGAAGAUCAUUCUACUAAUCAUGGUGACAGAAUGCCUGAUACAGCUAAAGUGGUGUUGCCAUACAAGACAGUGAAAAGUGAUGUGUAUUUAAAGCACCUGGCAGAAACAAGACAAUGUCCAUUAUAUGAAUUAAUUCAGUCAGUACAUUUAUCUUUUCUAAUAGUUGGGCACACCCAUGAGGAUGUGGAUGCAGCUUUUAGUAAAGUGGCCGAUAAAUUGCGAAAAACAGAUGUUGAGACAGUUCAGAAAUUUAUAGAUCUAGUUGAUGGAAAGAUGUUGGACAACAUGUAUGAUGUAAAAAGCUGGCUCUCUCCAGAAAUAAAAUCGUUAACUGGUGUAAGUGGGCCCUUGCACUAUAAAUUUUGCAAAGCAGCAACAAAGACAGAUGGUUUUUAUAAAGGUGCCCAAAGUAAUUCAUGGAUUCCAAUGGAAUAUACUAUACUUAAAACCAUUCCAAAAAAUAAGCCCAAAACUUUAGCCCCAGAUUAUUCCAACAUAGACAAAGAGAGACAAUUGAAACAAAUUGAAAAUAUUUAACAUAUGUUUGAAAAUCAUGAAACAUGGAGUAUUUGGAGAACAUUUUAUGACAAUAUAAACAACAAGCCCAAUACAGAAAAAACGAAAUGGAUUUUGGAGGAACUUCCCAGACAAACAUAUAUUGAAGCCACAAACAGCAUAACGAUUUCAGAGGAGGUAGAUAAACAGAUUAACAAAGAAACAGUUGAGCCAAAGAUAACCAUAAAGAAACCUAGGCAACAGACACAAUCAAGAAUAAUGUCAAAUGAAAAAAGAAAGUCUAUGCCGAAGAAAACCAAUCAGAAAACCAGAAACAAAAGCGGAAAAACAGAUCAAAGACGGAAAAGGGCCCAUAAUAAGGACUGUCAAAGACUUGUGAUGAUUCCGCUCACAGAUGAAGAAAAGAAACACAUCUGGAUUUUAAUUCUGUUAAACCUGUUUGAAAAUUGUAUAAUGUUAUUGUUCCUUUUUAUAUAUUUAAAUUUCUUGAAACUGUAUUGUUUACUUGAAUUGCUGUAUUAUUUAGAAAACCUGUUUCAGGCUUUGUUGAUAGCGCAUACAGGGAAGGUUGCAUUAAGAUUUCAUAUGGGUAAUGAUUUCUUUGUAUGUGCUUAGCUGAUUACACACUUUUAUGGGUAUUUUUUGCAUAGAUGACUUGCUCUCAUUUAGCAAUUAGGAAAUAUAUUUUUCUUAUUUCUCUGCUGUGAUGCAAUUUUUUUUUCAUAUAUACUACCAUUAAAAAUCUGCAGAACAAUUUUUUGAAUGUAGUUGAUUUAAUGUUAUUACCAUUUGGUACCUUCUAAAUAGUUGAAAAUAAUUUCAAAUUAUGUAAGUUGUAAAUUGAUCACAUAUUACUAUUUACUUUUUUUGGCAAACUAGAAUAUAUUUUAAUUUGUAUGUAUUUAAUCUUUGAUUGAUUACACAUAUGCUAAGUUACAUAUUUUAUUUACUAUUUUGUUAAGAUUGAUUGAUUCUGAGAAAAUCCGAGUUUCAUUUCCAUGCCAGUUUAACAGUUUUGUCCUUGAAUGUAUUUCUAUAUAUUUCUGUUAAACUAUUUUGUUAAGCUACCUUAUCAAUUUUUGUCAUGAAAUGUAUUGAUAUAUACUUAAUUUAUUUAUUGUGUUGAAGUAGCUUAACAUUUGCAUAACAAUUUAUAUGGUAGUUUUAAAAUAUUACUUAGAACUUUGGAACUACAGUAAUUCUUAGAUAAACAGGCGCUCCAAUGAAUUUCAGUGGUUCAGCUAACAUAUAAAUUUAUCGGAUAACUUGAAAUUUUAUGCUGUUCUUCUACUUGAUAUUAUACAAAUGUUAGCUGGUUAACAUUUCAGCUAAUGAAAUUAAUUUUAGUUUUGUUAAAUCAGCAUCCCAGCUUAACUGUUAGACUUAUUGAUAAUUUACGUUCUACUUUAAUAUGAGAUUUAUCCUACAGUUUAAAAUCUUUUUUUGAAAUAUUACUUUGAUUUGAGAAUUUGUAAAGCCGGUGUAAUAUUUUUCUUCAUCUAAUGAAACUGAUUUUUCGAUUUUGUUAAACUGGCUUAACAAUUUAUUUGAGAAUUGAUAUGCUGUAAUUCCACUUGGAUAUGAGAAUUUGUUAAGCCAGCUUAACAUUUCUCUUCAUGUAAGGAAAAUGAUUUUUCGAUUUUGUUAAGACGCCAUAACAAUUUAUCUUACAGUUUAAAAUUUUCUUUGAAACAUUACUUUGAUUUGAUAAUUUGUUAAGCCAGCUUAACAUUUUUCUACAUGUAAGGAAAAUGAUUUUUCGAUUUCGUUAAGCCGGCACAACAAUUUAACUUACAGGCUGUAAUUCCACUUGGAUUUGAUAAUUUGUUAAGCCAGCUUAACAUUUUUCUACAUGUAAGGAAAAUGAUUUUUUGAUUUUGUUAAGCCGGCAUAACAAUUUAACUUACAGGCUGUAAUUCCACUUUGAUUUGAGAAUUUGUUAAGCUGGCGUAACAUUUUUCUUCAUCUAAUGAAAAUAA